rnacentral:rRNA from 1 species
AGAGUUUGAUCAUGGCUCAGAACGAACGCUGGCGGCGUGCUUAACACAUGCAAGUCGAGUGCGCGCCUGUAGCAAUACAGGUGGCGCACGGCGCACGGGUGCGUAACACGUGGGUAAUCUGCCCUCUGAUGGGGAAUAACUCGCCGAAAGGCGAGCUAAUUCCGCAUAAUAUUCCGAGAACUUUGGUUUUUGGACUGAAAGGCGUAAGUCGUCGGAGGAGGAGCCCGCGCACGAUUAGCUAGUUGGUAGGGUAAUGGCCUACCAAGGCUUUGAUCGUUAGCUGGUCUGAGAGGAUGGCCAGCCACACUGGAACUGAGACACGGUCCAGACUCCUACGGGAGGCAGCAGUGGGGAAUCUUGCACAAUGGGCGAAAGCCUGAUGCAGCGACGCCGCGUGGGGGAUGAAGCUUCUCGGAGUGUAAACCCCUUUCGAUCCGGACGAAACCCCGCAAGGGAUUGACGGUACGGAUAUAAGAAGCCCCGGCUAACUACGUGCCAGCAGCCGCGGUAAUACGUAGGGGGCCAGCGUUGUUCGGAAUUACUGGGUGUAAAGGGUUCGUAGGCGGUGCGGCAAGUUGGGAGUGAAAUCUCUGGGCUUAACCCAGAGACGGCUUCCAAAACUGCUGUGCUUGAGUGUGGGAGAGGCUCGUGGAAUUGCAGGUGUAGCGGUGAAAUGCGUAGAUAUCUGCAGGAACACCCGUGGCGAAAGCGGCGAGCUGGACCACUACUGACGCUGAAGAACGAAAGCUAGGGGAGCAAACAGGAUUAGAUACCCCAGUAGUCC